rnacentral:tRNA from 3 species
GCUUCGGUAAUUCAGUUGGUAGAAUGCUCGACCGAUAAUCGAGUUGUCACUGGUUCAAGUCCAGUCCGUAGCACCA